rnacentral:lncRNA from 1 species
CCUCCCAGCAACAUUUCUAGACCGGUGACAGCCCCCUAGCGCCGCCGUGAGUGAGCGGUGCCGCCCGAAAGAACCGACUGCCCCGAGCUUCCCUUCGCCGGAACUUCCUCCUCCGGCCACCAAUCCGGGCAAGCUUGGUACGGUUUUGUAGCCCUCCUCCCGUGCAACAACCCCUCCAAGCAGCUCCCUCCCUCUUGAGCUAGGUAAGGAGAAAUGUGGAGUUGAAAUUUCUAGGCUUUUAAGUUAUUUUCGUUCGAUUAGCCUAGUUAGGCUUGGAAUUGGGUGAUGUGUUGGUCAUGAAAGUUGUAGAGGAGAUUGAGAGGAAGAUUCUGUUAAAAUUUGGUAGUAUUUGCAGGUCGCCGGAAAACGGCUGCCGGCCGCCGCCGGUUAGGAGAAUUUUAUGGUUUUUGAUGUAGAAUAUUAAGGGGAUAUUAUUGAAGUGAAUUUUGGAAUUUUUGGAUGAGAUUUGGAUAGGUUUGUGAAUUUCCGAAGUGUGGUAUUUUUGGCGGGUAAUUAAUGUAGAAUCCGGCCGUUGGAUUUAAGUCGUAUUUUGGGGAGGUUGUAUUUACGACUAUUGAGUAUGAUAUUUAAGUUCGGAUCGUUCCGAUGUAAGAAUAUCGAAGUUAGGCAAUCAUGAGCGUAAUUAUGGCUCUCGGGUAAUUUUGCCUAUUUUGAUUAAAUAUUGGAUUAUUGGUUGGGAAAUUAAUAUUUUAUUUGGAACAGGACGUGAGGAGGCUCGAGCAGACGAGACCCCAGAUCGACAGCAGGCUUAGGCCUAAUUUGUGAGUGGACUUUUGUUUUAAAUAAAUGCAUGCUAAGUUCACGAUUGAAUAAUUAAUGUCGUAGAGUAUUUUACCGUCAAUUAAUUUUGACGCUUUUAUUUCUCUGAGAGAGAGUUACCGAAAAUAGGAUUUUCGGUGAAUAUAAAUAUGUAUAUAUGAGAGAGUAUGUAUAAAAAAAAUGCUAGCUAGCCAUAUGUGUCUGUCCACCUUAAUGGCGUAGCAUAUAGCCGCAUUAUGGUGUGACGUGAGCGUUGGACGUAAGCGUAGUAGCCCUAUUUGAGUGUUUAAUUCAUAUAGGGGGUAUGGACACAUAUUUAUACACCCGUCUAUCCACCUUGAUGGCGUAGUGUAGCACCGCAUUAAGGCGUGACGUGAGCGUUGGACGCGAGCGUAGUAGCCCUAUAUAGACCC